rnacentral:rRNA from 1 species
AACGCAGCGAAGGGCGAUAAGUAAUGUGAAUUGCAGAAUUCAGUGAAUCAUCGAAUCUCUGAACGCACAUUGCGCCCUCUGGUAGUUCCGGGGGCAUGCCUGUUCGAGCGUCAUUACCAACCCUCAAGCUCUGCUUGGUAGUUGGGCACCACCGGCUCGGUGUGCCUACAAAAUCAGUGGCGGCGCCACCUGGCUUCAAGCGUAGUAACACCUCUCGCUUCUGGACGACCCGGUGCGUCGCCCGCCAGCCAACCCCCUCUCUUUUAAAGGUUGACCUCGGAUCAGGUAGGGAUACCCGCUGAACUUAA